GCGUUUCGUGGGGAAAUAUAUUUUAAAGUAUGUCGCUUAUUUUAUGAUUACAAGCGAAUUUAUUAUUUUUAAUUAGGUUAUUUAUUGAUUAACUAUAAUUUGCUGGUAAUUCAACUGUUUACCAAUUCACCACGUUUUUUACAAUAUUUUGGAAUUAUUGGAAUGAAAAAAGUGAAAAGUGGUGCCACUAAAAGAAGAGAAAAAGCUGCAGCCAUGGAGAAAAUCAUGAAAUACCCCAAGCUAACACAUUUUUUAAAACCAGCAGUUCCGGCUAGCAGUGUUUUGAUAUCAGCAAAUAAUUUUGAUUGUGAUUAUUUGGGUACUAGACUAGAGUCAGAUGGGUUAAUCUAAGACUCAAAUGCAAAGUCAAAUGUAAGUCAUGGUUUAAUCUGUGAAUCAAAUGCCACAACAAAUCCACUAAUAUUUCUCAGUGAUGAUCCUUCUGAUUGGCCUGAUAAUGUUUCUGACGCUCAGAAGUGUGAUGUUGUUAAACGAGGUUUAAAAAAGAUUGAAAUCGACUUUCCAAAAAAUUCAGAAAGAAGACGAUUUUCCAUGAGUUAUUAUAACCGCAAAAUGAAAAAUGGAGAAAUCUUUGAAAGAUCAUGGCUUAUAUAUUCUUUAAAUAGUGAUAAAGUGUUUUGUUUCUGAUGCAAACUUUUUGGGAUAACUUCUUCACCAUUUCGAAAAGGAAUAAACACGUGGGAAGGUUUAUCAAAAAAACUUAAAGAACACGAAACAUGCAGUGCACAUUUAAAAUGCUUUGAACAUUGGAUGACAUUACGAAAAGCAUAGCAAAUCAAGCUACCAUAGACGAGCAACAACAAAAGUUGCUUCAUAAAGAGCGGGUAUUUUGGAGAUCUGUGUUGGAAAGGAUACUGGACAUUACGUUAUUUCUUUCAGCAAGAAAUCUUGCAUUCCGUGGUUCAGGCACGGCAAUUGCUUCAAAGAGCAAUGGAAAUUUUCUUGGGGUGUUUAAAUUACUUGCUAAGUACGAUGCCGUCCUCAA